rnacentral:sRNA from 1 species
UAUAAUGUUUCCAGAGCAAACUGCAAUAAGAUUAUUAUGCUAUUCACGGAUGGAGGAGAAGAGAGAGCCCAGGAGAUAUUUACCAAAUACAAUAAAGAUAAAAAAGUACGUGUAUUCACGUUUUCAGUUGGUCAACACAAUUAUGACAGAGGACCUAUUCAGUGGAUGGCCUGUGAAAACAAAGGUUAUUAUUAUGAAAUUCCUUCCAUUGGUGCAAUAAGAAUCAAUACUCAGGAAUAUUUGGAUGUUUUGGGAAGACCAAUGGUUUUAGCAGGAGACAAAGCUAAGCAAGUCCAGUGGACAAAUGUGUACCUGGAUGCAUUGGAACUGGGACUUGUCAUUACUGGAACUCUUCCGGUCUUCAACAUAACCGGCCAAUUUGAAAAUAAGACAAACUUAAAGGUUAAAAGUUAAUUGAU